AUGGUACAAGUUUUUAAGUGUUUCUGUGGUACAAGUGGGAUAACUUUUUCUCUUGGGCCGGCCCGCUAUGCCUGUGUUGCAAGCGCCAAUUGCGAUUUCGAGCGCCAGUCAACUACGGGUGUUGGCUCCAACAAUUCUCAUUGGUCUCAAACCAAUGACAUGCAUUUUGAUAACCAUGAGUUUGAGGUGGACGAGGAUGGUGAGGGCAUCGUCGAUGCACCGAAAGGAAGAAGAGGCAACUACACCAAUGAUGAAGAUGUCUUGCUAUGCAUACUUGGUUGCAAGUGUCGAGGGAUCCAUCCAUUGGAGGUGAUAAAAGUAGAGAUGCAUAUUGGAACCAGAUGA
rnacentral:rRNA from 1 species